UCUGCAUUUUUGAAAUCAGAUUAUGAUACUCAUUCUGACAUAAUUACAAAAGAGUAGGUAACUUGUAUCCACAGAAACCAGCAUAGUUACAUGUACCUACUUCCUGCUACCUAUGUGAAGCCAGGAGACGGAGCAGAUAUUAGAAGAUACUCACAUUCAAAAGUGCUCAGUGGGCUUGGAGACAGCACAGUGAUGCUGAACAUUACAAAAAAACUUGGGGCUACUCAUGUAGUUUUAUAUCUUAAAGUGAAGAGCUAAAGAGAUGGAGGACUGGAGAUGGAGUGUGCCUCUAAGAUUUUUCCAGUGACAUUUUGCCAAAUUUAAUACAACAGUUGAAUUUGACUGAAAGUAAGUCUUGAAAAUUCAUGACUUUUUGCACAUAGCUAUGUUCAGCUAGUAUUUAGAUAGAGCAUUGUUUUAGGAUUGUUUUUAAUUUAAAUAGUUCACCCUAAAUAAGUGAACUUAGAGAGAAUUCACCCUUAGAGGUCUGAGGCUUGUUGAAAAAUCUGUAUGAAUGAUCCAGAAAGCUCCUUGAGAAUCUCUCUUAAAAUUCUUAGGUGCAAAUUACCUGAAUCAUAAUUUUUAUAUUUCUAAAUUAAGGAAAUAGGAAAAUAAUUGUUGGAAUGGAAAACAGUUCUUCUUUGUAAUGCAUUUGUCACCUCACUUUUUCCCAAGCACUGAUGAGCAAUAUUUAUUGAAUACUUCUAUAUGUUUUGUGUUACUAUUGACAGUUUUGCAACUUCCAUCUACUUACAAACAACCAUUAUUGAAUGUAUUUUAUUACAUCUUCCAAAAUUAAGAAUCAGUCAGAGAUAUUCUUUUUUUGGACCUUCUAUUUCCCUAAUUUGUAUUAAUUGAAAUUAAAAUUGC
rnacentral:lncRNA from 1 species